GCUCGCGCUACAUUUUAAACGGUUGCCAGGGCUUACCAACGGCCGGGCUCGUCCCCAAGAGACAGAGAAACUAUUUCCAGCAGCAUGGAAUGGAUGCAUAUUGUAAUCAUCACGUUGGUGAAACUAUUGCUUUCUAACUCAGAACACAUAUUGAAUUCUAAAUUUAAAGACACGACAAGAUUUAGAUGUAUAACAGAAAAAGGACAUAAUUUUACAGAAAGGAUCAGAAUGUACCU